rfam:Clostridium sp. ASF356 genomic scaffold acMac-supercont1.5, whole genome shotgun sequence.
UCUGGUGAUGAUGCGUUUAUGGGAAACACCCGUACCCAUUCCGAACACGACGGUUAAGACGUAAACGGUUGAUGAUACUUGGUGGGGGACCGCCUGGGAAAGUAGAUGAUUGCCAGAA